rnacentral:rRNA from 1 species
UACGUAGGGUGCAAGCGUUAAUCGGAAUUACUGGGCGUAAAGCGUGCGCAGGCGGUUGUGCAAGACCGAUGUGAAAUCCCCGGGCUUAACCUGGGAAUGGCCAUGGAAACUGGCGAACUGGAGUGCGGCAGAGGGGGGUGGAAUUCCGCGUGUAGCAGUGAAAUGCGUAGAGAUGCGGAGGAACACCGAUGGCGAAGGCAGCCCCCUGGGCUAGCACUGACGCUCAGGCACGAAAGCGUGGGGAGCAAACAGG